rnacentral:rRNA from 1 species
UGGUUGUUUAAGUCUGUUGUGAAGCCCUGGGCUCAACCUGGGAAUUGCAGUGGAUACUGGGCGACUAGAGUGUGGUAGAGGGUAGUGGAAUUCCCGGUGUAGCAGUGAAAUGCGUAGAGAUCGGGAGGAACAUCCAUGGCGAAGGCAGCUACCUGGACCAACACUGACACUGAGGCACGAAAGCGUGGGGAGCAAACAGGAUUAGAUACCCUGGUAGUCCACGCCCUAAACGAUGCGAACUGGAUGUUGGGUGCAAUUUGGCACGCAGUAUCGAAGCUAACGCGUUAAGUUCGCCGCCUGGGGAGUACGGUCGCAAGACUGAAACUCAAAGGAAUUGACGGGGGCCCGCACAAGCGGUGGAGUAUGUGGUUUUAUUCGAUGCAACGCGAAGAACCUUACCUGGUCUUGACAUGUCGA